GUAUUUGCUUCUUUUUGUUCUAGAGCUUUCAAAUGAGCUGUUAAGCUGCUAGUCUAUGAUCUCUCCAACUUCUUUAUGGAGGCACUCAGAGCUAUGAGUUUUCCUUUUAGCACUGCUUUCAUUGUGUCCCGUAAGUUUGGAUAUAUUGUGACUUCCUUCUCAUUGAAUUCUAAAAAGUCGUUUAUUUCUUUCUUUAUUUCUUCCCUGACCAGGUUAUCACUGAGUAGAGAGUUGUUCGGCUUCCAUGUGUAUGUGGUCUUCUGUUGUUUUUGCUCCUAUUCAAGACCAGCCUUAGUCCAUGGUGGUCUGAUAGGAUGCAUGGGAUUAUUCCUUUAACUGUUGAGGCCUGUUUAGUGACCGAUUACAUGGUCAACUUUGCAGAAGGUACCAUGAGGUGCUGAGAAGAAGGUAUAUUCUUUUCUUUUAGGAUGAAAUGUUCAAUAGAUACCUGUUAAACCCUUUUGGUUCCUAACUUCUGUUAGUUUCACUGUGUCUCUGUUUAGUUUCUGUUUCUAUAAUCUGUCCAUCGGUGAGAGUGGGGUACUGAAAUCUACUACUCCUAUUGUGUGAGGUUCAGUGUGUGCUUUGAGCUUUAGUAAGAUUUCUUUUACAAUUGUUGGUGCCCUUGCAUUUGAGGCCUAGAUGUUCAGAAUUGAGAGUUCAUCUCGGUGGGUUUUUCCUUGGAUGCGUAUGGAGUGUCCUUCCCCAUCUUUUUGAUGACUUUUGGUUAACAGUGUAUUUUGCUGGCUAUUAGGAUGGUUACUCCAGCUUGUUUCUUGGGACCAUUUGCUUGGAAAUUUUUCCCAUCCUUUUACUUUGAGGUAAUAUCUGUCAUUGACUCUGAGGUAAGUUUCCUGUAUGCAGCAAAAUGCUGGAUCCUGUUUAUGUAUCUAGUCUGUUAGCCUAUGGCUUUUUAUUGGGGAAUUGAGUUCAUUGAUGUUGAGAGAUAUUAGGGACCAGUGCUUGUUGCUUCCUGUUAGUUUUGUUGUUAAAGGUGGAAUUAUGUUUGUGUGUGUUUCUUCUUUUGGGUGUGUUGUGAAAAGGUUAAUUUCUUGCUUUUUCUUGGGAGUAGUUUUUCUCAUCGUGUUAUCCUUUAUUUCUUUAAGGGAGUUAUUUAUGCCCUUCUUAAUGUCCUCUAUCAUCUUCCUGAAAUGAGAGUUUAGAUCUGAAUCUUGCUUUUCUGGUGUGUUAGGGUAUCCAGGACUUGCUGUGGUUGGAGAACUGAGUUAUGAUGAUGCCACAUAGUCUUGAUGUUGCUUAUGUUCUUGCACUUAUUUCUUGCUACCUGAUUAUCUCUUGUGUUAUCUGGCCUCCCUGUCUCUGACUGGAGCCUGUCCUUCCUGUGAGCCUGUGAUCCUGCAAUCCUGUGAUCCUUUAUGUGUCAGAAUACCUGGGGAGUUGAGCUUCAAUUGGGGUAUGGGCUAUGUGGGAUUGGGUCCAGCACUGGGGUUCUGGUCCCUGGUACAGGUGGGAACUGAAGGGCUCUUUUGACUUUUCAAAUUGCUGGACAACAUAGAGUACUGUACUUCUCAUUCUCUUACCAUUGGGGAUCCACCUUGUAAAACCACAUAUUAGUUUUUCUCAUCUCUACACUGGCAUUCUGGGCUUCAGCUUGUAUCCUUGGGUCUCCAGUAAUCUAUUUGAACUCCCAAAAACCUUGAACUACUCUUUAUUUAGUCAGCUUCCCUCAUGCAGCUUCUAAAACUGGGCUGCUAUGUUUCACUGUCUUCAUCGCUCACAGGCCCCUAGGAUCUGUGCCAUUUACUCAGGUUGUAACUGGAAGUUUGCUCAAAAAGAUGUGCAGAAUGUGAAUGACUGAAAAAAUAAGUUGAUGUUUGAGUGAAUAGGAAAUCAAGGAUAGGUGGCCAUUUCUGUACAUCUCAAAUUUAAUGAACUUACUCAAGCAUGAGAGGGGGAGGAGGUUUCAAAUAUUGCUCUCCAGUAGCACUUUAUUGAGAAUGGAAUUAACUCUAUUUUUGGAACAGAUAAAGCUGUACUGUACUGGUGACGAGAAGGACAAAGAGGAUCUGUGUCGCUCUGCCCUUUUGAAGAUGUUGAGGCUCCUCGGCAUAAUUUGAAAGCCAUUGUCCUUAAAAAGAUAAUACUGUUCUGUAAAGAAUUGAGAUGGGUGAUCACGGCAUAGCUGGGUCCCUAUUCCCUUGCUGUCUGCAGCUGGUAGCCUUUUACAUAUGUACACUGGGCUAAUUGGCCUAUUUUUUUGUUACAGCAAGCUUUCAUCACCCAGGUGAUCUUAUGUGGUAUACACUGGCUCAUUUUUAUUUUGGAGAGGAGGCAAUGAAAGCUUAGAGCGUUAGGUAACUUGUCAAAGGUCGUGUGACUAUGGAGUCAAUCCUUAGGUUACCUGCUGAGCCCAGAGCAGUUGGACAGAACAAAGCAGUAGAGGUCUGCUCAUGGGGACAGGUGGGUUGUGAUGCUGACUGCAUUAAGACUGUCCCAGGUGUUAUUGAUUGAUUCAAUCCUCAUUAUACCCUCAAGACUAGGACUAUAGCAUUUGUACCAUCUUGGUUCUGUGUUGUCCUUAAUAGGAUAACCAAAUCACUUGCUGUCAAUAAGAGGGCCACAUAAGGAAACCAACCAACCAACCAACCAACCAACCAACCAACCAACCAACCAACCAACCAACCAACCAAACCAAAAAAAGAACCCAAAAUACCACCACCACAACUACUACCACCACCACAACAAACCUGGCACAAUGUGUCUCUUUUUAAAAGUUGCUAGGGCUAAUGAUCAUAAUUAGACUUGUCUUCCUCAGGAGGAUAAAAUAAAUGGAUCAAUUGAUUUGGAAACAGAGGAUGGGAAUGCUCCUGUCAAGCUGAUUACAUCCAAGGGUCUAUUCCUAUAUCAUAGAAUACCCAUUGCCUAUGGACAUUUCUCUAGAACACUGGUUCUCAACCUUCCUAAUGCCAUGAGCAUUUAAUGCAGAUCCUCAUGUGGUGGUGAUGCCCACCAUAAAAUUACUUCCUUGGUACUUCAUAACUGUAAUUUUGCUACUCUUGGGAAUCCUAGUGUAAAUAUCUAAUAUGUAGGGUAUCUGAUAUGUGAACCCAAAGGAGUCACAACCCACAAAUUGAGAUCUGCUGCUCUAGAUGAAUCCAGGAGGGCUAUCUGGCACUAGAUCGAGAAUAAAGACAUUUGAAAAUCCUUUCGGAAACUAUAACUUCGAUACUUACCCCAUCUUUCCCAUUUCUGCCUAUGGCUUUCAUGAAAUGCAAUCUUGUCUCACAGGUUCCCAAAUCCACAGGACAGAUCUGAGAAUGAGCAGCACAGUGGGAAGGCAUUUGCUCCUACCAGGGGAUAAUUCAGAACUAUGUGAACCAUCUCCCAUGAGGCUCUCUGAAGAUGGAGCCCACCGGUAAAAAGGGCAACUUCCCUCAUAGCCCUUCCCAUUUCUGCACAAACCAGAAGGCAUUCCUUGCUUAUAUGUUCUCUUUCCUUUUGGAGUCUGAGAUUAAUGCAUCUAAUGUCUCUUGCCUGGCUUACUACUCAAAUAGACACCAUUCUUAUCAUAUAUUAGAUACUCAAGAAAUGUUAAUUGAGUAGAUGCUUAAAGCUAAGACUUAGGUAUGCAAGUAUUGAAGAGUCAUCAAAGCCCCCUAAUUCUAGCUCUCUGCUUGGUUCCCAUGGUUGUACUCAAUUAGCAUUGGCUCAGGAAUUGAACUGUUUCCCCUUCAUGAACUUUUUUUCCCUCUUUAUUAAUUUAUUUAUUCACUUUACAUUCUGAUUGCAGCCCCCUCUGCUCUCCUUUUAGUCCCCCCUUACAAAUUCCUCCCUUUACAUUCCCCCCUCCCCGCCCCCAAGAGCAUGCAGAGACUGGAUCUAGGCUACCAUACACAUUGUAACACAUGUGAAGCUUGGCCUUCCUGUGGGUCCCCUAACAAUUGGAGUGGGGCUGUCUCUGAUUCUGUUGUCUGCCAUGGGAUCCCCUUCCCCUAACUGUGCUACCUGAUCAGGUGUCGGUGGGGAAAAGGUGUGUUUCAUUAACUUUUGAUCUGUCUCCUAGACCUUUGCCUGUGAGAUUUUCUCCACACAAACCUCUCUCCUUUCUUUGUCCUGCUGUUUCACACUCUUCUCUUUUCACAUUAGAGUUUAUGUUGACUUCUGAGUGUGACUUCUCUUAACUUCUCUUCCACCUAAGAAUGUUUACUUAGAGUCUAUGGCACCAGUCUGUGUUGUCCCUCGAGAUCUGUUUCCUCCCAACUUUAAGGAGAUGGGAUAUUACCAACUUGUAAAGGACUACUUUGCAAGUGGGAAGGAACCUUUUGAUUGAGUUUGGUUUAGAUCAGUGAGAUAGGCUUUGUGAAUAAACUUAGGAAGUAUUCUUAAAAGGAGGGGGCAUCUAUUUCUUCUUACUUCCCUUUUACUCUAUGGUCAAUGGUGUUGGUUGGAGCUUUAGCAAGGCAAAAGCAUCAAACACCUUGCAAAUCAGAGCUAUGCUAAAAGGAACUCACUAGUAGAAGCCCAGGUCUCAGACAAGUUUAUAUUGCUCCUUUACUAUCCCUAGAUUGAGUAUGAUUGCCUUCUUUAAUGUUCAAAAGAAAAUAUGCAUACAUCUUUCUUAAGUUUUCUGUAACAUGAAGCCAGUCUUCAUCUUGUCUGAUAGCCUGUCCCAAGGGAGACUCCACACAUGUUGACAAGUCUUAAGAAGCUAGGUGGCACUGGUGACAUGGCUCAGAGGGUAAACAGAUCUCCAGAUAACUUGAGCUCAAUUUCUGGUAUUUCAUGUGGGGAUUGAUGGAGAGAACCCACUCUACUAGGUCAUCUUCUGCUUUCUCAAUAUUUUCCUACUCAAAUCACACUUGUUACAAUAAUAAAUUUAGUUUUCAAAACUUAAAAAAAAGAUCCUGGGUGGUGACUCCAAGGUGACAGGUGCCUGAUUGGGGCAAAGCCACAGUGAGCUAAAAUAUACUUAACCAAUAACUGUUACAGGCAUUUAAAAGAGUGGCAGACACAAAUGCUCAUGUGCUAGACUCCAGAUGCAGAUACGAAGUGUUUAGAUAACCAUAGUAAAGUUACAUCACCUUUCUGGUCCUCAUUUUCUCCCUGGGGAUAGCUGUUGAGUAGAUGAGGCUAGACCAUAACUCUUACAAAGUUACCUGAUGUCACCUUGGCUAGAUCUAGCCCCCAAGACAAGAAUGGCUAAAGCAAGAGAAAUGGACUCAAACAAAACAUGACUUGGGUGGAGAAACGUAUCAGACUUCUUUCUGGAGCCUUUCAGUGCCCUGUUCUCUGUCCUCACCUACAUCUGUCUUCCUUCAGUCUUGUCAGCCCAUAUGAAGGGAAAUUGAGGAAUUUUAGCUGGAGUAAAUUUAGGUCUGACCCUGAGUUUCAAUCUUUAGUACCUCUGUGAUCUUGAAAUCUGAACUUGCUUUCCUGGUUAGCUUUGAGUUUCAUUUCUGUCAAACCCAAUAGAAAAGCCCCAGUUCUAAAAUUGUCUUCUUCUAAUACGCUCCCAACAAAGGAAAAGCUGUUAGGGCCACCAGAGUGUUUGCAAUCACCUCCUCUGUACAGACUUGUCAUGCAAGGUCUUUGCUUACAUAUAUUUUAUUGAGAUAGGAUCUCACUGUGUAAAGCCUUGGCUAGUUUAGAACUCACAGAGGUCAGCCAGCUCCUACUUUUUGAGUUCUGGGAUUAAAGAUGUGUGUCACUGUGUCUGGUUAACCUGACUUUAUAAGUGUGUGUGUGUGUGUGUGUGUGUGUACAUGAUUAUGUAUGAGUAAAUGUGUGACUGUUUAUGUAUGUAUAUAUGUGAAUGUGUAUGUAAGUGUAUGUGUAUGUGUGACUAUGUGUGUGUACUUUUAUGUAUAUGCAUCAGUGUGUAUGUAUGUGUAUGCAUGUCUGUGUGUAUGUGUUACUGUGUGCAUAUGUGUAUGUGUGUGCAUUCAUGUAUGUAUAUGAGUAUAUAUGAUAUGUAUGCUUAUGUAUGUGUAUGUAUGUGAGCAUGUAUGUGUAUAUGUGUGAGUGUGUAUAUGUAUGAGUACAGGUGUAUGUGUGAAUACGUGCAUGUAUGCAUAUUGUAUGUGUGUGAGUGUGGAUGUGAGUGUGUGUGAGUGAGUGUAAGUGUAUGUGUAUGUGUGUGUGAGGGAGAGUGUGUGUGUAUCUUUAAAUCAUAAACACCUUGAGGUAUAGAGGGAGGACAAAUAAUAGAAGAAAAGAAUAAUAUUCUGAGGUUAAAGCAAAUUGUUCUUGAUCCAGACCCUCAUUUGAAAUUGUCCUAUCCUUAUUUAAGGAUCACAGAAUCUACAGGCUGAGCAUACACUCUACUCCAGCUUCUCAGCUCUCGUCAUCUGCACAGAAAUACAUCACUAAGUCAUUUAUGCUCAUCUUCCUUCUGAAAUGUUUGAUUUUGGAGGUGGAGAUGAGGAAUUGUGCCCAGUGCAUCGUGCCCUCUGUACUUUCCAAUGGAGUCAGUCAGCAAGAGGCUGACCAAAGCACUGGAGAGCCUGGCAUGCUGUGGCUUUGAAAUUUCCCUGCCCCCACCCACCACUGACUGCUCCUCUGUCCUAUCUGAGGUCUAAACGUGGGCAUUUCAGGGCCCUUCUGGGAAACUCAGUGUCUUUGGCCUUCACUGAGGUGCUUCUUCAGACAAGAAACUUGAAGUUCCAACUUAAAAGCUGAUUAAUGCACUGAGACAAGGAAUCUUGACAUACAGCUGCAUUGUGGGAAUGCUUGGCAGGAGAGCCAUUCAUCUUGGAAGUUCUUCCUAGAAAUUUGUCUUCCAGUGAGGCAGUGGGCUUCAGAACUCCAAGAUCAUGCAGAAGAGCACAUGAGCGUCUGCUCUCAUCAGCCAGGGUGGCUGGUUCCCCUCACACUGGGAAUCUUAGUGCUAAGCUCUCAAAACCCAGUACUGCAAUAGAGGAAGGUGUCAAGACUCUUCUUCCAAUGAGACAGAUGUUUCUACUUUUCAAGCAGUUCUCUCUUCCGGACAUCCCAUGACCAUCUGUUUAAGGGCCUGCUGGAGACCGUGUGCACUUGUUAUGAGCUUGGUUUCUCUAUUGAGCCCAAGAAGAGGGAGUUUCUACAGACAACCGUGACAAGGGCCGCAGCAAGGUGAAUCAGAUGAUGGCAGUGUGAAGCAGUGCCCACAGUGUCCAUGGAGGGUCAGGGACUUCGGAACGCAGACCCUGGUGCCUGACCUCACUGAGGGGAAGCCCUGCUAUGGAGCAAGAGGUGGAGAAAGACUGGUCGCGGGAGCAAGCUUAGUGUUGCGGCUGGACCAGCAGCCUGGCUUCGCAGGCUUAAUGAAACGGGUGCAAACAGUGACCUUGUCAGACGAAAUGAAUUAUGGGAAGGAGAAGCUGAAUGAAAUAUCUUCUGCCAUGACUCUGUUCUUUGGCUUUCAGGAGCGAGCCCCAGCACUUCUCAGAUGUGAAAUGCAAAACCUCAAAGGUGCAGAAUAUGGAUAUCCCUACAACUGAAGUAAUCCAUCUUUUAGUACACCAGAAUAAGUGUGCGUAACCGUGGAUGUGUGUACAACGAUCUGUCCUUGUCCUCUGCUGGUCUCCAGCUCCCCCACUGCCUGGCAGCCCCACUGCCCUUUUUCCACGUGCUUCCUGCUAGUGUAAAUGCAGUAAGCAAGGAAAUGCAUAGACAGAGUCUUGCUCAUAGGAGCGUCUCGGUAAUAAAUCCUUAAUUUUAAGC
ensembl:lncRNA